rnacentral:rRNA from 1 species
AGUGAACGCUGGCGGUAGGCCUAACACAUGCAAGUCGAACGGCAGCACAGUAAGAGCUUGCUCUUCCGGGUGGCGAGUGGCGGACGGGUGAGGAAUACAUCGGAAUCUACUUUUUCGUGGGGGAUAACGUAGGGAAACUUACGAUAAUACCGCAUACGACCUACGGGGGAAAGCAGGGGAUCUUCGGACCUUGCGCGAAUGAAUGAGCCGAUGUCGGAUUAGCUAGUUGGCGGGGUAAAGGCCCACCAAGGCGACGAUCCGUAGCUGGUCUGAGAGGCUGAUCAGCCACACUGGAGCUGGGACACGGUCCAUGCUCCUACGGGAGGCAGCAGUGGGGAAUAUUGGACAAUGGGCGCAAGCCUGAUCCAGCCAUCCCGCGUGGGUGAAGAAGGCCUUCGGGUUGUAAAGCCCUUUUGUUGGGAAAGAAAAGCAGCAGGUUAAUACCCCGCUGUUCUGACGGUACCCAAAGAAUAAGCACCGGCUAACUUCGUG